rnacentral:rRNA from 1 species
GUCCCGGUUUAAGCGUGUAGGCUGGUUUUCCAGGCAAAUCCGGAAAACCAAGGCUGAGGCGUGAUGACGAGGCACUACGGUGCUGAAGCGACAAAUGCCCUGCUUCCAGGAAAAGCCUCUAAGCAUCAGGUAACAUCAAAUCGUACCCCAAACCGACACAGGUGGUCAGGUAGAGAAUACCAAGGCGCUUGAGAGAACUCGGGUGAAGGAACUAGGCAAAAUGGUGCCGUAACUUCGGGAGAAGGCACGCUGAUAUGUAGGUGAAGCGACUUGCUCGUGGAGCUGAAAUCAGUCGAAGAUACCAGCUGGCUGCAACUGUUUAUUAAAAACACAGCACUGUGCAAACACGAAAGUGGACGUAUACGGUGUGACGCCUGCCCGGUGCCGGAAGGUUAAUUGAUGGGGUUAGCGGCAACGCGAAGCUCUUGAUCGAAGCCCCGGUAAACGGCGGCCGUAACUAUAACGGUCCUAAGGUAGCGAAAUUCCUUGUCGGGUAAGUUCCGACCUGCACGAAUGGCGUAAUGAUGGCCAGGCUGUCUCCACCCGAGACUCAGUGAAAUUGAACUCGCUGUGAAGAUGCAGUGUACCCGCGGCAAGACGGAAAGACCCCGUGAACCUUUACUAUAGCUUGACACUGAACAUUGAGCCUUGAUGUGUAGGAUAGGUGGGAGGCUUUGAAGUGUGGACGCCAGUCUGCAUGGAGCCGACCUUGAAAUACCACCCUUUAAUGUUUGAUGUUCUAACGUUGGCCCGUAAUCCGGGUUGCGGACAGUGUCUGGUGGGUAGUUUGACUGGGGCGGUCUCCUCCUAAAGAGUAACGGAGGAGCACGAAGGUUGGCUAAUCCUGGUCGGACAUCAGGAGGUUAGUGCAAUGGCAUAAGCCAGCUUGACUGCGAGCGUGACGGCGCGAGCAGGUGCGAAAGCAGGUCAUAGUGAUCCGGUGGUUCUGAAUGGAAGGGCCAUCGCUCAACGGAUAAAAGGUACUCCGGGGAUAACAGGCUGAUACCGCCCAAGAGUUCAUAUCGACGGCGGUGUUUGGCACCUCGAUGUCGGCUCAUCACAUCCUGGGGCUGAAGUAGGUCCCAAGGGUAUGGCUGUUCGCCAUUUAAAGUGGUACGCGAGCUGGGUUUAGAACGUCGUGAGACAGUUCGGUCCCUAUCUGCCGUGGGCGCUGGAGAACUGAGGGGGGCUGCUCCUAGUACGAGAGGACCGGAGUGGACGCAUCACUGGUGUUCGGGUUGUCAUGCCAAUGGCACUGCCCGGUAGCUAAAUGCGGAAGAGAUAAGUGCUGAAAGCAUCUAAGCACGAAACUUGCCCCGAGAUGAGUUCUCCCUGACUCCUUGAGAGUCCUGAAGGAACGUUGAAGACGACGACGUUGAUAGGCCGGGUGUGUAAGCGCAGCGAUGCGUUGAGCUAACCGGUACUAAUGAACCGUGAGGCUUAACCUU